AGAAAAUCCUCUGCAGACGCUGGAAUGAAGGAGGAUGACUCAGCUUUCUUCUGCACAGAAAAACACAUCCAGUUCCAGGGAAGGAGGCGUUGCAGAAGUUUGAUCAACCAAUCAGAAGUGAAAUUGAGGAAACUUGAAAGCUAUGUUUUCGACUCUGGGAAAACUCCUUCAGGCACGAAUCGUUCUGACUGGAACUAAAAGUUCAGGGAGGACAUCCUGGAGGGACCUGAACAGGAAAGGACAUCGGGAGCAGUCGU